GGGAGCCCGGCUUCGGCCGGUCACUCUAGUGGCGGACGGGUGAGUAACGCGUGGGAACCUGCCCUUCAGUUCGGAAUAACCACGGGAAACUGUGGCUAAUACCGUAUACGCCCUCCGGGGGAAAGAUUUAUCGCUGAAGGAUGGGCCCGCGUCGGAUUAGCUUGUUGGUAGGGUAACGGCCUACCAAGGCAACGAUCCGUAGCUGGUCUGAGAGGACGAUCAGCCACACUGGGACCGAGACACGGCCCAGACUCCUACGGGAGGCAGCAGUGGGGAAUAUUGGACAAUGGGGGCAACCCUGAUCCAGCAAUGCCGCGUGUGUGAAGAAGGCCUUAGGGUUGUAAAGCACUUUCACCGGGGAAGAUGAUGACGGUACCCGGAGAAGAAGCUCCGGCUAACUCCGUGCCAGCAGCCGCGGUAAGACGGAGGGGGCUAGCGUUGUUCGGAAUUACUGGGCGUAAAGCGCGCGUAGGCGGAUCAUCAAGUUGGGCGUGAAAGCCCUGGGCUCAACCCAGGAAUUGCGCUCGAAACUGGUGGACUAGAGUCCGGGAGAGGAUAGUGG
rnacentral:rRNA from 1 species